CAUGCAGUCGAGCGGCAGCGACAACAUUGAACCUUCGGGGGAUUUGUUGGGCGGCGAGCGGCGGACGGGUGAGUAAUGCCUGGGAAAUUGCCCUGAUGUGGGGGAUAACCAUUGGAAACGAUGGCUAAUACCGCAUGAUAGCUUCGGCUCAAAGAGGGGGACCUUCGGGCCUCUCGCGUCGGGAUAUGCCUAGGUGGGAUUAGCUAGUUGGUGAGGUAAGGGCUCACCAAGGCGACGAUCCCUAGCUGGUCUGAGAGGAUGAUCAGCCACACUGGAACUGAGACACGGUCCAGACUCCUACGGGAGGCAGCAGUGGGGAAUAUUGCACAAUGGGCGCAAGCCUGAUGCAGCCAUGCCGCGUGUAUGAAGAAGGCCUUCGGGUUGUAAAGUACUUUCAGUCGUGAGGAAGGCGGGUAUGUUAAUAGCAUAUUCGUUUGACGUUAGCGACAGAAGAAGCACCGGCUAACUCCGUGCCAGCAGCCGCGGUAAUACGGAGGGUGCGAGCGUUAAUCGGAAUUACUGGGCGUAAAGCGCAUGCAGGUGGUUUGUUAAGUCAGAUGUGAAAGCCCGGGGCCCAACCUCGGAAUAGCAUUUGAAACUGGCAGACUAGAGUACUGUAGAGGGGGGUAGAAUUUCACGUGUAGCGGUGAAAUGCGUAGAGAUCUGAA
rnacentral:rRNA from 1 species